AGUAGUUCUUCUUCCACCCAGCUAAUCAUUUCUCGAACAUCUCUAUCACAAAUUAAGUCCUCACACCUUGAAUUUUGAACCCAGUGGAAGACAAAGCUUUAGUUUCUAAUAUGAUCAUGAUUUUCUAGCAGAUGAUUAUUUAACUGCUAAAUAGCAUACUGUAGAAGGGCAUGAUUAAAGUUUAAGCCUCUUAGAGCCCAUAGGAAAUAAAGUGAAUGAUUUUGUCCAUUAUAUUUAACUACAGUUGAAAACAAGCUAUUUUUUCUCAUGGGGGACUAGCAGUUAAAAUGAUUUAAUUGAGAUGCCCCUAGCCUUCAGUCAACAUUUCUAAGGGGAAAUCAUUAUGGAAAAGUGGGGAUGAAAAUUGUAGCAUGUCUCGUAUGAACCAUGGUUGGUUUACAGCUUAUAGCAGAUUUAAGUCGUAAGCAUAGUAUAUAUCCUCCUGGUAAUAUCAUGUUCUUAGUUUGUGAUUUCCUCAUGACGUGUUUCUUACUGUCAAGUAUUGUUUCACAUGACAGACAAUCAACAACAGGGAUUCAUCUGAUGACAAAGAGAGAAAAAAGAGGGAUGUAGAGGAAAAAUUACAAAUUUUGAAUGCAAAGAAACAUAAUCUGGUGCAAGUGCUGAAGCAGAUAUUAAAUGCAGAGGAGGAAUUAAAGAGGAGAAA